rnacentral:rRNA from 1 species
GACGAACGCUGGCGGCGUGCUUAACACAUGCAAGUCGAACGGAAAGGCCCUGCUUUUGUCUGGUGCUCGAGUGGCGAACGGGUGAGUAACACGUGAGUAACCUGCCCUUGACUUUGUGACAACUUCAGGAAACUGGGGCUAAUACCUGAUAGGUGCUCCUGCUGCAUGGUGGGGGUCGGAAAGUUUCGGCGGUUGGAGAUGGACUCGCGGCUUAUCAGCUUGUUGGUGGGGUAGUGGCUUACCAAGGCUUUGACGGGUAGCCGGCCUGAGAGGGUGACCGGCCACAUUGGGACUGAGCUACGGCCCAGCCUCGUACGGGAGGCAGCGGUGGGGAAUAUUGCACAAUGGGCGGGAGCCUGAUGAGGCGACGCCGCGUGCGGGAUGACGGCCAUCGGGUUGUAAACCGCUUUUGUCUGUGACGAAGCGUGAGUGACGGUAAUGGGUAAAGAAGCACCGGCUAACUACGUG